rnacentral:rRNA from 1 species
UACGGGGGGGGCAAGCGUUGUUCGGAAUUACUGGGCGUAAAGGGCUCGUAGGCGGCCAACUAAGUCAGACGUGAAAUCCCUCGGCUUAACCGGGGAACUGCGUCUGAUACUGGAUGGCUCGAGUUUGGGAGAGGGAUGCGGAAUUCCAGGUGUAGCGGUGAAAUGCGUAGAUAUCUGGAGGAACACCGGUGGCGAAGGCGGCAUCCUAGACCAACACUGACGCUGAGGAGCGAAAGCCAGGGGAGCAAACGGG